GACGAACGCUGGCGGGCGUGCUUAACACAUGCAAGUCGAGCGGUAAGGCUCCUUCGGGAGUACACGAGCGGCGAACGGGUGAGUAACACGUGAGCAAUCUGCCCUUCACUUUGGGAUAACUCCGGGAAACCGGUGCUAAUACCGAAUGCGACCACUUCAGGCAUCUGACGGUGGUGGAAAGUUCCGGCGGUGAAGGAUGAGCUCGCGGCCUAUCAGCUUGUUGGUGAGGUAAUGGCUCACCAAGGCUUCGACGGGUAGCCGGCCUGAGAGGGUGACCGGCCACACUGGGACUGAGACACGGCCCAGACUCCUACGGGAGGCAGCAGUGGGGAAUAUUGGACAAUGGGCGAAAGCCUGAUCCAGCAACGCCGCGUGAGGGAUGACUGCCUUCGGGUUGUAAACCUCUUUCAGCAGGGACGAAGCGAAAGUGACGGUACCUGCAAAAGAAGCACCGGCCAACUACGUG
rnacentral:rRNA from 1 species